CUAUCAAAGAUCCAAGUUUGCCAUCCAGAAAUCCCCCAAUUUCCCUAACAAAAACAAAAAGCGACGGCUACACGAGGAAAGAAAGAGAAAAACCAACGCAAAGCAAGCAAUUUUAGAGAGAGAGAAGUUGAACCAGAACCAGAGACAGAGAGCGAAAGUUGUGUUCUUGUUUGUCUUGGCGUGUUUAAGGCAUUAAUGGCGGAGGGUAAAAAAGAAAAGAACUCCAACGAAGAAAGCGUCAAGCUAUUCGUAGGUCAAGUGCCCAAACACAUGACCGAAGCUCAACUUCUUUCAAUGUUUAAAGAGUUCGCUCUGGUCGACGAGGUCAACAUCAUCAAAGACAAGACCACUCGCGCCUCCAGAGGGUGUUGUUUUGUAAUAUGUCCGUCGAGACAGGAGGCUGAUAAGGCGGUCAAUGCCUGUCAUAAUAAGAAGACACUUCCAGGGGCAUCUAGCCCGUUGCAAGUGAAAUAUGCAGAUGGCGAAUUGGAGAGGCUCGAACAUAAGCUCUUUGUAGGUAUGCUGCCAAAGAAUGUUUCGGAGGCUGAAGUUUCUGUUUUGUUUUCUAAAUAUGGAACAAUAACAGAUUUACAAAUUUUAAGAGGUUCUCAGCAAACGAGUAAAGGUUGUGCUUUUCUGAAGUACGAGACAAAAGAACAAGCCCUUGCUGCCCUGGAGGCUAUCAAUGGAAAAUAUAGAAUGGAGGGUUCAAAUGUUCCUUUGGUUGUCAAAUGGGCAGAUACAGAAAAGGAAAGACAAGCAAGAAGGGCCCAGAAAGCUCAAUCCCAGGCCUCUAAUGUACCAAAUGCUGAUUCACAACAUCCCUCUUUGUUUGGAGCCUUGCCAGUUGGGUAUGUUCCCCCAUAUAAUGGAUAUGGAUAUCAGGCUCCUGGAGCCUAUGGACUUAUGCAGUACCGCCUACCACCAAUGCAGAAUCAACAUGCCUUUCAUGGUAUAAUCCCUCCUGUAAAUCAAGGGAAUGCACUGCACGGUGCCGUGCCUGACCUCUCACCCAAUAUGGGCCAUAGAAAUUAUGCAAUGCCUCCUGCAAGUUAUGUGGGCUCAGGCUAUCCUAAUGUACCUGGCCUUCAAUACCCAAUGGCAUAUCCUGGAGGAAUGUAUGGUCAGCGACCUUUGAGCAGUUCACCUGUUUCAGUCACAACUGCAAGUGCAAACAGUAACCCAGCUGCCUCAUCUAGUCCUGGUACAAGUUCUGGGGGUCAGCUUGAAGGUCCACCGGGUGCUAAUCUAUUUAUUUAUCACAUACCUCAAGAAUUUGGUGACCAAGAGCUUGCCAAUGCUUUUCAACAAUUUGGUAGGGUCCUGAGUGCCAAAGUUUUUGUUGAUAAAGCAACUGGUGUAAGCAAAUGUUUUGGAUUUGUCAGUUAUGAGUUACCUGCUGCUGCUCAAAAUGCCAUUGCUAUGAUGCAUGGCUGUCAAUUAGGUGGUAAGAAACUGAAAGUUCAGCUUAAGAGAGACAACAAACAGAAUAAACCUUAUUGAUUGGAAGGAAUCACGAAGUAGUCCAUUGUGUUGGAGAUACUUAAAGAUUUUCAAGUAGCCAGAGAUAGUUGACUGACAAAGAUAGGAUGAAGAGUUACAUUGUUGUUUGGGGAUAUGAGUGGAGUGACUCUUUCUAGUUCUUGGGUUUAUUUCCUCUUGCCCUGUGAAGAAGUUGAACUUGUAUGCACAGGGCUUUUCAGCUUCAACUUGCUUUCUGCAACCUAUUGAUAUUUUUUAUUGCAUUGCUGAAGGUUCAAAGACGACACGAAGAAAUACGCUGUACAAAAGCUUUCUGUCCCCAUAUCUGGGUGAUGAGUGCCUUUUUUUUUUUUCACCUUGCACUUUCAUUUUCUUCCCAGGCUUUUCAGCUUCGAGUAGCUUUCUGCAACCUAUUGCUAAUUUUUUAUUGCAUUGCUGAAGGUUUCAAAGACGACAUGAAGAAAUAUGCAGUACAAAAGCUUUCUAUCCCCAUAUCUGAGUGAUGAGUGCCUUCUUUUUUUUCACCUUGCAAAUCCUCAUUCUGAUGAGAUUCUGCCUCUUAGUUGCAUUCUAAUUUUAUGUACUUCUAUCACAUUACACUUACACAGUUGAAGACCAGCACAGGAGAGUCAGGGAGCGAUUUCAAUAGUUGUAACUCAAUUAGGGACUUGAAACUUUGAGAGUUUGGCUCAUUAUAAUAGCACUUCUUGAUUUUGAUUUCCAGCUUUUUAUGCAUUAUUUAGAUAUUGCCACAGCAAGUUUUUCAGGUGCCAGUUUGUCUUUUUCAAAAAGUACAACCUUAUCAAGUGCAGGAAGGACAUCUGGAAGAUAAAAGUGAAGGUGGUUCAGUGCUGAGCAAUUCUCGAGUCCGCUGUAGUGUACCGUGCUUCUUCAAUUUUCGAUCAUAAAUGGUGGAAAAGCAUUUGAGGUUGUCUAGGCUUUGGAGCUGCGUGGUAGCUUUACCUGGAGGAUUAAAUAAGAACCACAUGGAGAUUGCUGAGUAGUUGAGAGAAUCACGUUCCUGCAAAAGGUCAAAGUAAUAAUAUUCAUUCUUCCUGCAUCUCAUGGAUGGUUUGAAUCAUAAGAGUAGUGUUAUGACAUAAGACAACCUAUUUUCAAAGUGUGUUAAAUUGAUCAUGUUGUAUUAAUCUAUCCCUAAAACUGGUUGUAUUCGAAUUACAUUUUUCGAUAUAAUUUUUAUUUGAAUCA